GAUGGGAGGGGCUUCCUACACAUCUGUGGAGAUGGGGCUUCUUGGGGGUGUCACCAGAGCAUCUGCAAAGUGCCAGGGCAUGCUCCUCACUAUAUAGAUGAGAGGGUGAGGGGGAGGUCAGGCUGCCCCAGGCCUGUGGAGAGGGCCAGAGACAGCUCCUCCUUAGUUUUCCCAGCUGCUGGCUCUGCUGAGCCCUAAUGAGCUCCAGUCGGCUGGUCCCCAUCCGAGCAGCCUGCUGGUCCUCAGCGCUGGCUGCAAUAGCGGCUGCAGGCCAUGUGACCUUCGGCCCUCCCUCCCUCUCACCCUGUGAUCCGCACGUGGCCUCUGGGGAGGCAGAAACAAACCCUCAGAUCUGCCACUGGGAACCUUUCAGCGCCAGCGACUUCAAAGGGGGCAGCAGGGCGGCGGGGGCGGCGGAUGCUUUUCUUAAAGAGCUACACCACUUUUUAAUUCAAAGCAGAUUCUGGGAACAGCUGUCAAGCCACUGCCUGGGAGGGACGAGGAGGACUUUGUGCUCUGGAUGUACCAUACGGUGGAGUGGAGCAGAGUUAGACGAGGUUCCAGAGUGAGUCAUACAGGCUGCAGAGAAGACAACAAAUGAAGAAAAACAGGAGGGCUACCGCAGAACUGGAAGAUUACUUCCUAUGUGAGUGACAGUCGGAGUGAUGAAGAGGGAGUGACCCUUUUCUGGCUAUGUGUCAUUUUAUAUUUAUAACUUUUGAAUAAAAUAAUAUUUAACUCAAAUAAAUGAAUAUUU
rnacentral:lncRNA from 1 species